AUAGAAAGCUAAAGAGAGCGGCGCGCCAGAUUUAAGCGAAGGAAGAGUGAAUAUUUGUGUCUUGCAUUUUCUUGUAAAAAGUUGUUUUCUUUCUUGUAAUACGAGGGCAAAUUAGAGGCCUUACACCAGAUUUAAUUUGCUCUCUGCAAGACGACUCUGUGUGAUUAGCUCAACUCAUCCACGUUCUAAUACAUUCAAGAAUUCAAGCUGGGCUCAAUGUAGGACAGAUCAGAUCAAGCAUGAUGCCCGCAGAUUUGAACCGCUGUGAAGCCCCUACCACCAGUACCAAUUACAUCGGCCCAUCGACCACUAGACCGCUGCAGCUCUGGACAUCAGAUCAGGGGCCUGUUUUUAAAGAGUUACAAGUAACAUUUCCAUUAUGGCAACUACCAUGAUAAUUAGGCUCAGUAGCCAAUCACAAUCAACAUUUCCAAUGAAGUUACAAUAGUUGUUGGUCUUUAUGAAUCGGGCCAGAUCAUCAUCUGCUCAGCUCACCUGCAAAGCUUGGACACGAAGCAGAUCGUCAGAACAAGUCAAGGGAUCAACUGGUGGUGCAACAGCGAGGAUGUAGCAGAGAAUGACUUCAGGAUCUUUGUGAAGAGUGUGGUCCCUGGCGGGUUAGCUUCAGAGAGUGGAAGUCUCCAUGAAGGGGAUCAGAUCAAGCAUGUGAACAGUGAAAGUCUGAAUAUAGCUUCAAAUGAAAGUCGUGUCACUCAGUGUAAACGUGGAUGCACUCCCUAUUUGGUGUUUACCAUCUUCCAAGCAUAAUUAACAGAGAUAUCCUACCAUACAGGGCAUGACGCCAAUCUUGAAAUCUUCAUCUACAUGGAAUGUCUGGGGUGAACAGUUAUUGGUCUUUGCGUGAAGUGUAAUCAACACAGGAAUGGAUUUGACACCAAACUCUUCAUAUACAUUCUACAUAUUGUGAUAGUAAUGUAUUCAUGAUAGAAAUAGUUUUACUGGGAUGUGCUCUUGACACCAGUCAUUAUCUACACUCUAAUCUUUGGUGUUGGCCCUAUUUUAAGUGUGCUUUUUCAGAUCAAGUUUUUACUGUAAUAGAGUGUAGAUGAUUUUUGGUGCUAAGUGUUCAGCUAUGUGGAUUUUUACUCACAUGAAUGUCUAGAAUAUGGUUAGCCCUAUAGUUCAUGGGGGGGGGGUACAUCAGACUGAAUGUCGGUUCAAAUUUUAUGUAAAAAUCUUUAGUAUCAUAUACGUGACUUGCAUAUAUGUAUUCACUACUCAUGAACCCAUUUUGUUAUGUAUUUUAUGACUUUUGUGUAGCUUCAAGGAGCAGGUCCAAGCUAUUAUUUCUUUGCUGAUAGUUUAGGAAUAUUUUUAUGAGAUUUUUGUGGAGUUCAUAGCAUACGACUUAAAAAUAUAACAAUCUGUGACAAAGCAAAGGAAGAAUCUAUUAGUAAUACAUUUGUCCCAAUUCCUUAAUGAAGCUUGCAUUUGUGUUUAUAUUGAGCUGACUAUUCUGCAAAAGUGGAUCCAAAGGUUUUCCAGAGUUUUUCCCUAUUGAGUUUUAUCUCUGGUUUUUUACCCUGGAUCUACUUGUCGUAGAACUAGUCAGAGGGGGGGGGGGGGGUGUCAUAGCGCGAGGUUCAAAUUGCAGCGACAUUGCCAGACAUUUAUCGUUAAAGUCUCACACAUCUUUUGAGACCAAAUUUGCAAUGCCCGGGUAUUCGGUUCCAAAGAUUUUGGACAGUUUGUAAGGGCUUUUCAGAUCCAAGCUGCUCAAAAGUAAAAAACAUAAUUUUAUGUACAAAUGCGAUUUAUGUUUCUUGCCAAAUGUCAUAGAUUUGUUAAUAAUUUUACCUCUAAUCAUUGAAAUUCAUUAAUUUUAUUAAAAAAAAACAAAUCAAAAAGUUGAAAAACAGAAAUACAUAGGAUAUUUAUAAAAAAAUAAAAUACAUAGGAAUUUAUUUUGAUAUUGCAUUCUUUCUUCACACUAGAUUUACAUAGAAUGCCACAAAGAAAGUCUUGACCCCACAUUAUAUUUGGACCAUUAUUUCAUGAUUUGGAGCACAGGUUUGAUUUCAUGCAUAAAUUAGCAUACUGUACAAGCUGUUAUUUUCGCGUACAGAAGUUUUCGCGAAUCGUGGAGGUCCCGACAUUUUCAUGGGUUGUUAAAUUCGCGAUCGGAAGAUGUACGAAACACUUCCACAGCAUUUUAAAGAAGCAAAACUAGUGCAAAUCAUGUGCAAAAAAAACACUUUUUCAUUACACAGGAUGUUUUCAAUAUCAAAUGUGUCAAUAUUUUUGCACGUUGUUCAAUUCACGGACGAUCGCCAAUUCGUAAAAUCCGUGAAAAUAAAGGCUUCGACAGUAAUCAAGGGAAUCAUCAUGGGAUUAAAGAGCCAGUUUUCAAACCAUUCAUAUGCAACAUACCUGAUGCUGUAGUUAUGAAGCUUGUAAGUAGUAUAACCAUUGUUAGGCGAAUCAAGCUUUCUUUAGUGUAGGUCAGCAAUUCUGUAUUGUUUAUAUAAUCGCUUGUUUGUUGAAUUAAUUUAUAUCAGAAUUAUGAAGUCAGUGGUUGUACAGUGCCUGACAAACAAUUUUUAUGGGGAAUGAUCUGGAGGUCUAAGUUUACAGAGGUCACGAUAUACUUGAACAUACUUUUUCUCACCAUAACUAAAUAACCACUUGAGAAUUCGAUUUCAAACGUUACUCCUGUACAUAUAUGCAUAUGGGAGUGACGAUGAACUGAAUAGAUAUUUAGGUUCAUGAGUUCAAAGUUGAAAGGUCACAUACAUCAUUUUUUAACAGUAAUAUCUCUCCCCAUGAGUUCAUAAUUUUAUACAUUUAAAUAUCUUGUUCUCCCAUUCUUAAGAACUGUAUGAGAGAACAUUUUCAAUCUUGGCUCAUGUAUGUAUACAUACAUAUAUGAGAGGAUGAUCUUAAUCAGAUUUUAGGGUCACAAUGCUAGGGGUCAAAGGUCACAGCUCAAUAGUGUGUAGAGCCUCAAAAAUUGUUAUGUUGGCCCAAAAUCGUAAAAUUUUGUCUUUUUUUAAAUACCUUCGCAGCUUUGCUGCUGCGCUGCACAAAGAAAUCAUGCAUGAGAUGAUAUAUUUAUGAAGUCAAACAUUCAUACAGUCAAAAUGCAUAUUGGAAUGAUUUUUGAAGCCAUUGAAUACAAAUGUGUUUCUCACAAACACAUAGCAUUUGUAUAUUUUGGGUCUGCUAACAAAACCAUAGCGACCCUGUGGGGUUUUUUUUGUUGGCAUUUUACGGUUGGUCAGAUGAGGGCAACAUAAGAAAUUUUUAGGCCUAGUGUUUGAAAAGUGCUCUUAUAAAUAUCAGAUCAUUUAACAUUCAUAAAAAGUUUAUGAAAAGUGUUUCACAAAUAGUUAAAAACUGACUAAAAGUCUGUUUAAGUACUAAUGAAUUUUAUAUCACAUGUUUAACUUGCAGUCUCGAUUUAUGCAUGUAUGCUAUAGAACAUAUCCUCUGAUUCUGAUCCAACCAAUAUGGUGAUCUGUUAUUUUCCACACACAAGUGUAAAGUUUAGAGAAAUUUUUAGUAACACAUAAAUCUUUGUGAAACACCUCUUUGAUUUGUAUCUUGCAUCACAUGUUCUAGGGACAGUGAUAUCCGCUUACUGGUAAAUCAAAACAGUUAUCUAUUUUGGUUCUUUACUUUACAUGUAAUAAUUUGUUGAAUUUCCCUCUGAAAAACAGAAUUCAUGUUUUUUGAUGUGUACACUUUCUAUGACAAAAUGGAAUUUUCAUUUUAGAUCAAGCUCGAAGUGGAGUAAUAGUUUUUCAGAAAGAGAGAAGACCAUUUUUUUAAAGUGAAAAUCACUGUCCCUAAUAUGUCGAAUAGCUUGGACCUGCCCUAUACAUGUAGUUUAUGAUUGUCUGUACUGUAUACUUGCUUUGUAUUCAUGAUUUCAUUUUUCUUUCUUGAAACAAAUGUAAGACCAGCAGCUGAGAAGAUUCAUUCAAGUUGGAGGGCCAUAGCAGUUGACCUCAUCAAUGGCGGUAGGCCCUAAACCUUACAAACAUGGCUACCUGUCUGGUUUGAGCUGGGAUCUUCCUGUCAGAAUCAC